rnacentral:rRNA from 1 species
UACGGAGGAUGCAAGCGUUAUCCGGAAUGAUUGGGCGUAAAGCGUCCGCAGGUGGCUUUGUAAGUCUGCUGUUAAAGAGUGAGGCUCAACCUCAUAAGAGCAGUGGAAACUACAAGGCUAGAGUACGUUCGGGGCAGAGGGAAUUCCUGGUGUAGCGGUGAAAUGCGUAGAGAUCAGGAAGAACACCGGUGGCGAAAGCGCUCUGCUAGGCCGUAACUGACACUGAGGGACGAAAGCUAGGGGAGCGAAUGGG